rnacentral:rRNA from 1 species
UACGGAGGGUGCAAGCGUUAAUCGGAAUUACUGGGCGUAAAGCGCACGCAGGUGGCUGAGUCAGUCGAUUGUGAAAGCCCUGGGCUUAACCUGGGAAUUGCAGUCGAUACUACUCAGCUAGAGUAUGGGAGAGGGCAGUGGAAUUCCCGGUGUAGCGGUGAAAUGCGUAGAUAGUCAGGAGGAACACCGGUGGCGAAGGCGGGUCUCUGGGCCGAUACUGACACUGAGGAGCGAAAGCGUGGGGAGCGAACAGG